CCCUUAGAUGUUCUGGGCAGCACGCGCGCUACAAUGGUCUUCGCAAACGGAUGCAUUCUCGAAGGAGAAUGCCAAUCUUGGAAUCUAUGCCUUGGUCGGGACAGUUGCUUGCAAUUUUUCGACUCGAACCAGGAAUUCCUUGUAAUCGUGAUUCAUCACAUCACGAUGAAUACGUCCCUGCCCUUUGUACACACCGCCCGUCGCUCCUACCGAUCGAAGAGUUAGGUGAAUUGUUUUGGUCGAUAAGAUUUGACUAUGGUCAACUCUCGUUGUGAAAUUCUGUGAAUCUGACUGUUUAGAGGAAGGAAAAGUCGUAACA
rnacentral:rRNA from 1 species